ensembl:snRNA U6 U6 spliceosomal RNA
GUGCUCGCUUUAGCAGCACAUAUACUAAAACUGGAACUAUUCAAAAAAGAUUAGCAGGGCCCCUGUGCAAGAAUGACAUGCAAAUUUGUGAAGCAUUCCAUAUUAAA